rnacentral:rRNA from 1 species
ACGCUCGACACCUACGGGAGACAGCAGUGGGGAAUAUUGCACAAUGGGGGAAACCCUGAUGCAGCGAUGCCGCGUGAAGGAAGAAGUAUCUCGGUAUGUAAACUUCUAUCAGCAGGGAAGAAAAUGACGGUACCUGACUAAGAAGCCCCGGCUAACUACGUGCCUGCAGCCGCGGUAAUCUGAGCGGGCUGGCAAGGC